CACUAUGCCUAGCCCUAAACAUUGACAGUUAUUUACACCCACUGUCCGCCUGGGAACUACGAGCGCCAGCUUAAAACCCAAAGGACUUGGCGGUGCUUUAGACCCACCUAGAGGAGCCUGUUCUAGAACCGAUAAUCCCCGUUAAACCUCACCCUUCCUUGCCAUUUCCGCCUAUAUACCGCCGUCGUCAGCUUACCCUGUGAAGGUCCCAUAGUAAGCACAAUCGGCAAUGCCCAAAACGUCAGGUCGAGGUGUAGCGAAUGGAGGGGGAAGAAAUGGGCUACAUUUGCUAAUACAGUAAAUACGGAUGAUCACCCUGCAACGAGUAUCUGAAGGAGGAUUUAGCAGUAAGCAAAAAACAGAGUGUUUUGCUGAAAUUGGCCCUGAAGCGUGCACACACCGCCCGUCACUCUCUCCGAACUAAGACUUUAAACAUAACUAAUAUGCUAUAACUGUAAAGGAGAGGCAAGUCGUAA
rnacentral:rRNA from 1 species